AGAGUUUGAUCCUGGCUCAGGAUGAACGCUGGCGGCGUGCCUAAUACAUGCAAGUCGAACGAGGCGCUUUUUGUAGCAAUACGAGGAGCGUCCUAGUGGCGAACGGGUGAGUAACGCGUGGGUGACCUGCCCCAAAGUGUGGGAUAACAGUCCGAAAGGAUUGCUAAUACCGCAUGUGGUCGCUGAGUUUAGAAGUUAGCGACUAAAGCAGCAAUGCGCUUUGGGAGGGACCUGCGUCCCAUCAGCUAGUUGGUGAGGUAACGGCCCACCAAGUCGACGAUCGGUAGCCGACCUGAGAGGGUGAUCGGCCACAUUGGAACUGAGAGACGGUCCAAACUCCUACGGGAGGCAGCAGUGGGGAAUAUUGGGCAAUGGGGGAAACCCUGACCCAGCGACGCCGCGUGAGGGAAGAAGGUUUUCGGAUUGUAAACCUCUGUUCUUGGUGAAGAGGGGAAGACGGUAGCCAAGGAGGAAGCCCCGGCUAACUACGUGCCAGCAGCCGCGGUAAUACGUAGGGGGCGAGCGUUGUCCGGAAUGAUUGGGCGUAAAGGGCGCGUAGGCGGCUUGUCAAGUCUGGAGUGGAAGUCCUAUUUUCAAGGUAGGAAUUGCUUUGGAAACUGGCAAGCUUGAGUGCAGGAGAGGUCAUCGGAAUUCCCGGUGUAGCGGUGAAAUGCGUAGAGAUCGGGAGGAACACCAGUGGCGAAGGCGGGUGACUGGACUGCAACUGACGCUCAUGCACGAAAGCGUGGGGAGCAAACAGGAUUAGAUACCCUGGUAGUCCACGCCCUAAACGAUGCGAACUAGGUGUUGGGGAAGGAGACUUCUUUAGUACCGUAGCUAACGCGUGAAGUUCGCCGCCUGGGGAGUACGGUCGCAAGAUUAAAACUCAAAGGAAUUGACGGGGACCCGCACAAGCGGUGGAUGAUGUGGAUUAAUUCGAUGCAACGCGAAAAACCUUACCUACCCUUGACAUGCCCGGAACCCUGCUGAGAGGUGGGGGUGCCCGAAAGGGAAUCGGGACACAGGUGCUGCGUGGCUGUCGUCAGCUCGUGUCGUGAGAUGUUGGGUUAAGUCCCGCAACGAGCGCAACCCUUGUCACUAAUUGCCAUCAUUUGGUUGGGCACUUUAGUGAGACUGCCGGUGACAAACCGGAGGAAGGUGGGGAUGACGUCAAGUCCUCAUGGCCCUUAUGGGUAGGGCUUCACACGUCAUACAAUGGUCGGUACAGAGGGUUGCCAAGCCGCGAGGUGGAGCCAAUCCCAGAAAGCCGAUCGUAGUCCGGAUCGGAGUCUGCAACUCGACUCCGUGAAGUCGGAAUCGCUAGUAAUCGCGGAUCAGCAUGCCGCGGUGAAUACGUUCCCGGGUCUUGUACACACCGCCCGUCACACCAUGGGAGCGGGUUCUACCAGAAGCAGUUAGCCUAACCGCAAGGGGGGCGAUUGCCACGGUAGGAUUCGUGACUGGGGUGAAGUCGUAACAAGGUA
rnacentral:rRNA from 1 species